AGCGGAGGAAAAGAAACUAACCAGGAUGSSACUUAGUAWCGGCGAGCGAACCGGGCAGAGCCCAACUUGAAAAUCUCCAGCCUCCGGCUGGCGAAUUGUAGUCUAGAGAAGUGCUCUCUGCCUCAGUCCGGCCCCAAGUCCCCUGGAAAGGGGCGUCAGAGAGGGUGAGAACCCCGUUGGGACCGGUGCCUGUGGCUCCACGAGACGCUUUCGAAGAGUCGGGUUGUUUGGGAAUGCAGCCCAAAGCAGGUGGUAAAUCCCAUCUAAGGCUAAAUACAGACGGGAGACCGAUAGCGAACAAGUACCGCGAGGGAAAGAUGAAAAGAACUUUGAAAAGAGAGUUAAAAAGUGCUUGAAAUUGUUGAGAGGGAAGCGAUUGGAUCCUACGGGUGCGCCCAGGCACACGCCUGCCUAACGGUUGGCUGAAUGCGCUGGGUGCUGGUCAGCAUGGGUUGGCCGGGCGGGACAAACCCGGGGGUUGUUACCCCGGCUAUGUCGCCUGGCCGACCGAGGAAAGAAGGGCGCUCUCUGAGUCCUCCGGGAACUGCGUCCUCAAGAUGCUGGCGGAAAGGUUCCAAUCGGCCCGUCUUGAAACACGGACCAAGGAGUCUAACAUGCAUGCGAGCUGGUGGGUGGCAAACCCAUGAAGCGCAAGUAACCUGACUGGUGGGAUGGCCUGUGCCUGCACCAUCGACCGACCAUGAUCUUCUGUGAAAGGUUCGAGUACGAGCAUGCCUGUUGGGACCCGAAAGAUGGUGAACUAUGCCUGAGCAGGGCGAAGCCAGAGGAAACUCUGGUGGAGGCUCGUAGAUGUGCUGACGUGCAAAUCGCUUUKACUGGACUUSGGUAUAGGGGCGAAAGACUAAUCGAACCUUCUAGUA
rnacentral:rRNA from 1 species